CUUCCCAAAUUUAGACUUACCCGCAUCCAUGAGCAACAAGACCAGCAAAGAAGAUAAUAAAGAGGUGAUGAGAAUACCAGAAAACUUCAAAGUACGACCUCCUGUCCAAAAUGUAAUAUCAUCAUCUUCGGCAUCAUAAAAAAUUCAGAAUUAUCAACAAGCCUCAUUAUUAUAACCAUGAUUAACUACGAUCAUCAAAGCAGCAAUCAUUUUCAUAAUCAACUUUAUUAUCAUUAUCAAUUAUCAUUAUGAUCCAGUCAUCAUUAUUAGUGACACUUUAAUGAUCAACACAGUCACCACUAUAACUAAUCAUUUUCAUCCUUAUCAUCAUCAUCAAUAAUUAACUUAUAAACAAAUUUUUAAACCUUUUUAUCAUGAAUCACUUUCUUUAUCAUCAUUAUCAUCACUAUCACAGACAUCAUUGUCAUGAUCAUCAUCAUUAUCAUCACAAUCAUCAUCAUCAUCAUUAUCAUCACUAUCACAGUGAUCAUUGCCAUAAUUAUCAUCAUUAUCAUCAGAACCAUCAUCACAGUCAUUAUUAUAACGAUCAUUGUCAUCACAGCCAUCAUUAUUAUCAUGACAAAUACCACACAAACCUGAUUAGCUCUGUUGAUGACGACACCAUCACAACCAAGCACAAUGUGAUGACGGCACCCGUGACUCCUGCAACUUACACGGAUGACAGGGGCCAUACAUGUGCUCUGAUGAGAAUGGACAACAAGAAUGAAAAUGUGUCAAGCAAGGUUAUAUGCCUAGCAAUGGUGAAAUGAUGCUAAAAUAAAGCCAGUCAACACCGCUGUACCUAGUCAGUGGUCUCCAGGAUUUACAACAGUGCUUUGCGGUCCCAACUCUAAUCUCACAUCAUCAUCCUGGAGCAAGCAUAGCAGGACAGUUGCUUAUCAAAAAUAUAGCUCUUGACAUAUUGGGAGAGUGCCCUAGGACAUCAAUAAGUCUAUUGGGUUUUUUUUAUUGUUUUUUUUGUGUGAACUCUCAUCAACAACUCAAACAGCUGAACUGUUUUCUGACUUCCUUUAUUCAAACUAAUGGAUUAUAUUUGGUGCUUUUUGAUUGGUUAAGUGCAGGGCGGAGGCAUGACUUACCUUGAUGACCUCACGUAAAUAUGUAUAUUUCUUUGUUACCCCAUAAUUAUGGUACGUUGUUGCAAAAAGAAUGAUGUUUAUAACUGCCCAUAUUAUCUGUGAAAAGUAAAAAUUCAUUGUGCAUUUCA